UGGAAUCGAGCGUUGCUUCACUCCCUUCCAAUUUUAUAUAGAACCUAAAUAUGAAGUUAGGUUCGGAGAGCGUUCGGGCUAGUCACGAACACUCAAGACGCUUUGGUUACUCAGUACUGUUCAAAUGUUUCGAGAGUUGAAAACAACCAUCGCGUGGGUUUUUAGACAAGAAAAAUAGAAAUAUAACGAAAAAGGAUUUCGCUGAAUUGGGAGGCAGGAGACAUUUCGCACAAAGCCUAUUAGGCGAAGGGAGAAAUGACAGUGAAACAUGGUAAGAAUUAGCAGGGCUCGCUAGUGCUGAUUACGACAUUUAACUGAGAAAGUACUCACCAAUCAAAUCAAAUCCCGGAGGUCAAAAGAACAAAAAAGAAGUGAUAAAGCUCUCUUUGCACAAGUCGAGCGAAUGAAGACGGCUUCACGAAGGCUGAGGUUUAAAAGACAGAGGAAAAGUUAGCCAUGACACAAAAGAGAGCGGAGUCAAAACCA